CUACGGGACGCUCCAGUCGAGAAUCGUCUACAAUGGGGGAAACCCUGAUAGUGCGACGCCGCGUGAACGAUGAAGCUUUUCGGAGUGUAAAGUUCUUUUCUGUAUGAGCAAUGCUUUAUUGUAUAAGAUAUAAUAGAGAGAGAUAUUAGUACAGGAAUAAGCCACGGCUAACUCCGUGCCAGCAGCCGCGGUAAUACGGGGGUGGCAAGCGUUGUCCGGAAUUACUAGGCGUAAAGGGCAGGUAGGCGGAUAUUCAAGUCAGGCGUUAAAGGCAUCAGCUCAACUGGUGUACGGCGUUUGAAACUGUAUAUCUAGAGUCAGGUAGAGGUAGAUGGAAUUCCUAGUGUAGCGGUGGAAUGCGCAGAGAUUAGGAAGAACACCAAAGGCGAAGGCAAUCUACUGGGCCAUGACUGACGCUAAACUGCGAAGGUGUGGGUAUCAAACAGGAUUAGAUACCCUUGUAGUC
rnacentral:rRNA from 1 species